rnacentral:rRNA from 1 species
AUUGAACGCUGGCGGCAUGCUUUACACAUGCAAGUCGAACGGUAACAGGCCGCAAGGUGCUGACGAGUGGCGAACGGGUGAGUAAUGCAUCGGAACGUGCCCAGUCGCGGGGGAUAACGCAGCGAAAGCUGCGCUAAUACCGCAUACGAUCUAUGGAUGAAAGCGGGGGACCGUAAGGCCUCGCGCGAUUGGAGCGGCCGAUGUCAGAUUAGGUAGUUGGUGGGGUAAAGGCCCACCAAGCCAACGAUCUGUAGCUGGUCUGAGAGGACGACCAGCCACACUGGGACUGAGACAAGGCCCAGACUCCUACGGGAGGCAGCAGUGGGGAAUUUUGGACAAUGGGCGCAAGCCUGAUCCAGCAAUGCCGCGUGCAGGAAGAAGGCCUUCGGGUUGUAAACUGCUUUUGUACGGAACGAAACGGUUCUCUCUAAUACAGGGGGCUAAUGACGGUACCGUAAGAAUAAGCACCGGCUAACUACGUGCCAGCCGCCGCAGUAAUAC